rnacentral:rRNA from 1 species
CCUGGCUCAGGAUGAACGCUAGCUACAGGCUUAACACAUGCAAGUCGAGGGGCAUCAGGAAGAAAGCUUGCUUUCUUUGCUGGCGACCGGCGCACGGGUGAGUAACACGUAUCCAACCUGCCCUUUACUCGGGGAUAGCCUUUCGAAAGAAAGAUUAAUACCCGAUAGUAUAAUGAUUCCGCAUGGUUUCAUUAUUAAAGGAUUCCGGUAAAGGAUGGGGAUGCGUUCCAUUAGGUUGUUGGUGAGGUAACGGCUCACCAAGCCUUCGAUGGAUAGGGGUUCUGAGAGGAAGGUCCCCCACAUUGGAACUGAGACACGGUCCAAACUCCUACGGGAGGCAGCAGUGAGGAAUAUUGGUCAAUGGGCGCUAGCCUGAACCAGCCAAGUAGCGUGAAGGAUGAAGGCUCUAUGGGUCGUAAACUUCUUUUAUAUAAGAAUAAAGUGCAGUAUGUAUACUGUUUUGUAUGUAUUAUAUGAAUAAGGAUCGGCUAACUCCGUGCCAGCAGCCGCGGUAAUACGGAGGAUCCGAGCGUUAUCCGGAUUUAUUGGGUUUAAAGGGAGCGUAGGUGGACUGGUAAGUCAGUUGUGAAAGUUUGCGGCUCAACCGUAAAAUUGCAGUUGAUACUGUCAGUCUUGAGUACAGUAGAGGUGGGCGGAAUUCGUGGUGUAGCGGUGAAAUGCUUAGAUAUCACGAAGAACUCCGAUUGCGAAGGCAGCUCACUGGACUGCAACUGACACUGAUGCUCGAAAGUGUGGGUAUCAAACAGGAUUAGAUACCCUGGUAGUCCACACAGUAAACGAUGAAUACUCGCUGUUUGCGAUAUACAGUAAGCGGCCAAGCGAAAGCAUUAAGUAUUCCACCUGGGGAGUACGCCGGCAACGGUGAAACUCAAAGGAAUUGACGGGGGCCCGCACAAGCGGAGGAACAUGUGGUUUAAUUCGAUGAUACGCGAGGAACCUUACCCGGGCUUAAAUUGCAGUGGAAUGAUGUGGAAACAUGUCAGUGAGCAAUCACCGCUGUGAAGGUGCUGCAUGGUUGUCGUCAGCUCGUGCCGUGAGGUGUCGGCUUAAGUGCCAUAACGAGCGCAACCCUUAUCUUUAGUUACUAACAGGUCAUGCUGAGGACUCUAGAGAGACUGCCGUCGUAAGAUGUGAGGAAGGUGGGGAUGACGUCAAAUCAGCACGGCCCUUACGUCCGGGGCUACACACGUGUUACAAUGGGGGGUACAGAAGGCAGCUAGCGGGUGACCGUAUGCUAAUCCCAAAAGCCUCUCUCAGUUCGGAUCGAAGUCUGCAACCCGACUUCGUGAAGCUGGAUUCGCUAGUAAUCGCGCAUCAGCCACGGCGCGGUGAAUACGUUCCCGGGCCUUGUACACACCGCCC